ACAUCGCCUUUAGAAACAUUACAGGUAGAGUCUGCCCAAUGAAUUUUAAAUGGCCGCAGUAUCUUGACUGUGCUAAGGCAGCACAAUCAUUUGCCAUUUAAUUGGUGGCCUGUACAAAUGAACCAAUGAGAAGACACCUGUCUCCAACCUACAAUUCAAUUUAUAAUGAAGGUUAAAAUACCUUUUUCUACUAGGAAGACGACAAGACCCUACAAAGCUUCAAUCCAAUUUAACUUCAAUCAAAAACAGGUUUUUACUGGGGCGGUAAAAUUAUACCUUUAUCUAAUUUUAAAUCAACAUUUUAGAUGAAUUUGAUUCACACUUUUGAGAAAUAACCUUAGCUACUUUAGGGAUAACAGCGUAAUAUUCUUUGAGAGUCCUAAUCAACAAGAACGGUUUCGACCUCGAUGUUGAAUUGAGGUACCGAUGCAGAGCAUAAACUACUUUUGGGGAGUCUGUUCGACUUAUAAACCCUCACGUGAUCUGAUUCAGACCGGA
rnacentral:rRNA from 1 species